UACUGAUUUGUGUUCAAGUUGAAAAACUCAGACCUAAGAAACACUCACAGAAGAGGACUUCCAGAACUGUUUCAGAAAGUAAGAAGAGUGAGGCAGUGUUACGUACACGAACCAACUACCUGCAAUGAAUGUAAUCAUUAUUUGACAAAGAAGACUAAAUUGGGGCUACAGAAUCUUCCCUUCUGAACUCAUUGUAUAACCAAGAAGAAGCCAUGACAAGUUUAAAAUGU